GGAGCAGAUCACGUAAGCACUGCCUAUUCCACAGCAAGGGUAAGCAGAGCAGGAAUGAACUGGGAGUUAAUGUGGAAAGAGAGGGAAGGAAGACCAUAUGUCAAGAACUGAAGAGGCAUGGUCUUCAGAGGUACCCUGUGCAUAGAUGAGGCAUUUCUGUGAUUUUUGCACUUGCACACUGGAACCUGAAGCAAUUAUACCUGACUCCCAAGUGUUGUAGAAGCAGGCCUUGUGUAGGCGGAACAAAAGUCUCUGAUGAUUUGCUUGCUUCAAAAGGUCCCCACUGAUUUUACCUUUGGGUCUGUUCUACCAUCUCUCAUUGUUUCAUAAUUUAGAUAGCCUCUCAGAAGUAUGGCCAUGGGCAGGGGAAGAACGGACGUGUCCAGCGGGGGAAAUACAGCCAUCCAGCGGGAAUUAACAGAGCAGAAAGGAUUUGGAAAUUCUAGUUUCUGAAGCUUGCAGCAGGGCUGGAUUCAAGGGAUUUCUUCAACAGGAACACAGGCCCUAAAAGGUUAUUGAACUGUGGAAGCUCAUCUGAAGCAGAAGAAGAGUGGCCUGGGGAGGGGCUUAGCUCAUUGAGCUGUGUCUUUCCCCCUAGCACACAGCCCGUGCCUCAGUUUCCCCAUGUGCAGAGCACAAGGACUGCCAGUGAUGGUCUUUUGCAAAGCCCAUUUGAGAUCCAGCAAUGAAAACUGACACGGCCGUCUGGGUAUCGCUGUCAUUCAGGGCAGAAUCAGCAUGGUUCAAAGCCAGAGUGAGCCCUUCCACGUGGUGGGUUAAAACCCCAAUUUUUGGUCCAGGUUCUGAGAUCCCCCACCCUUGGCAUGGCCAGGCUGGCGUGUGGGAGCUGCCUCACCGGUGGGGUGCUGGUGUGGGGCCCGACCCAUCCCACCCCGGCAGCACAGCCACCGCCAUCCACAUCCUCACACCGCUGCUUUGGCCUUCCCACUGGCCACAGCUCUCCUUCUGUAACACCUGGGUGCACACUGGGGUUGUUUGUUCGCUUUAGUUUUGCUUUGUGGGGAAACUGAUACAGGCUGCACGUUAGCUGUAAAGGAGAACAAACAGGGUAAGAUGGGAGUAUUUCUGCAUAGGGUAAUAACUGGGCUAAGAUGGGAGUAUUUCUGUAUAAGGUAAUAAACGGGGUAAGAUGGGAGUAUUUCCUUUAUUAUUGAAAACUUGGGAAGCUUCUCUUUUUUGCUGGCUCUUUGCUCCUGAAGUAUUGCGCUGCGUGCCUCCUGAGCCAAACGAUAAAAUUAAAGAAAAUUAAAGAAAAAUAAAUAAUAAAAUAAAGCAAAUUAAAAUAAA